rnacentral:rRNA from 1 species
UACGUAGGGGGCGAGCGUUGUCCGGAAUUAUUGGGCGUAAAGAGCUCGUAGGCGGCUUGUCGCGUCGGAUGUGAAAGCCCGGGGCUUAACUCCGGGUCUGCAUUCGAUACGGGCAGGCUAGAGUUCGGUAGGGGAGAUCGGAAUUCCUGGUGUAGCGGUGAAAUGCGCAGAUAUCAGGAGGAACACCAGUGGCGAAGGCGGAUCUCUGGGCCGAUACUGACGCUGAGGAGCGAAAGCGUGGGGAGCGAACAGG